ensembl:lncRNA
GAUACAGUCCUUGGAGGAGGAGGAUCUGCGAGUAUUGUGGAGUGAACAGACGGCUGCCAUUGAGAGCAACAUGUGCUAAUGCCAACUCUGUUGGAAUCAACUGUGAAUGUUAAGAAAUGAAGAAUGAAGAUCUGCUUAGACAACCAGCAUGUCAUCAUCCAAAACACAACAUUGAUCUUUUCAGCAAGGUAGGGUGUAUGUAGGCAGUUUGCAUUGAGGCAGCACUCUUGGUUUCGGAACAAAACUAUUUAUUUUGUGUGAGCGCAGAUGUGUGCAGAUAUCUAGAUUUCAUGUGGAUGUAAAUGGUUGCAUGUGUCAUGAGUCAUUGUGUUCAUACUUUCCCCUGAAGGCUGUCCCAGAGACCUGAGGGAGAAAGAGGAGAGCUGGUUGUCAUGUCAACAACAAUGCGAGUCCAUGCAGGAGCAGCUGUUGUCGUGCCAACAGAAACAGGAGGUGGUGACCCAGAGACUAGAAUGGGCAGAAGGGUUUUUGACCCUCGAAAAUGGAGACUUUCAAAAAUGCUGCAGACCCUGUUUGAGUUUAACAACCGCAGAAGUGUAAACGGACCAAAACUGAAACUUUUGAAAAUGAUGGUGUGGAUGCCCACAUUCGCUCUGCUUAUCUUUGAUGACCUUGUAAAGGUGUGCUUAGAGCAAUUGGCAACAAAGAUGUCCUUGCUUUUCCUCUGCAUUAUGCUCAUUGUUGUAACUGCCAGUGACUAGCAACCAACUGUAUACACUUUAAUGCGCAUACCCAGUGUGCAUGAGUGGUCAUAUGACAUGCUUUUUCAGUUGUGUAGUGUGGACGGAGAUUGUUUCUGAAAUGCAGAGAAAAUUCCUGUGAAGAUGAAGAUAGUUUUCAUUUUAAAAUUCCAUCAUUUAAAAUGCACUAGUGUAAACAGGGCCUUAAUUUGAGCACCACAUUUUUAGAACACAGUGUCAUGCAUGAGAUGCU